CGAUAUCCACACGAAGUUUUGAAAUUUUAUAAGUAUACCUUUAGUCCAGUUGAGAAGAGGCAAAAUAAAGACCUUACUCAGUAAAAAUCGCUAAGAAGAAAUUUCG